UUGCACAUACAUUUCGAUGUUCAUUUCAUGAUAUAUUUUAAAACAUUUUAUAAAGAAAAAUCCCUUUAUUUUUUAAAUAACAUAAGCUUCUUCCCCCUUUUAUUAUUAUAUAGAUAUAAUAGGGAGAAGGUUACAACUCAAAUCCCAGUCUCAUACAUGCCAUUCUCACGAAGAAGAAGCAAAGAUGAUGCUACCUCCAACUCAUCAUUGGAUGCUGGCAUAUUAUCUUGGGCCUCAACCAAGGAAGCCUUGAACUCCACAAGCUCCUCAAAACUAAGAUUAUCAAUGGGAAGUUUUCC
rnacentral:lncRNA from 1 species